rnacentral:misc_RNA from 1 species
GAUGAAGAACGUAUUGAAAUGCGAUACGUAGUGUGAAUUGCAGAAUUCAGUGAAUCAUCGAAUCUUUGAACGCACAUUGCACCUCUCGGUAUUCCGGGAGGUAUGCCUGUUCGAGCGUCAUUUGUACCCUCAAGCUCUGCUUGGUGUUGGGUGUUUGUUCCGCCUCUGUGUGUGAACUCGCCUCAAAACAAUUGGCAGCCGGCGUACUUGUUUCGGAGCGCAGCACAUUUUGCGAUCCAGAUCAACGUACAGCGGCAUCCAAGAAGCCUUAUUUAACGCUCUUGACCUCGGAUCAGGUAGGGAUACCCGCUGAACUUAAGCAUAUCAAUAAGCGGAGGA